CCUACGGGUGGCAGCAGUGGGGGAUAUUGCACAAUGGGGGGAACUCUGAUGCAGCGACGCCGCGUGGGUGAAGAAGCGCCUCGGCGCGUAAAGCCCUGUCAGCAGGGAAGAAAAUGACGGUACCUGAAGAAGAAGCUCCGGCUAACUACGUGCCAGCAGCCGCGGUAAUACGUAGGGGGCAAGCGUUAUCCGGAUUUACUGGGUGUAAAGGGGGCGCAGACGGCGAUGCAAGCCAGGAGUGAAAGCCCGGGGCUCAACCCCGGGACUGCACUUGGAACUGCGUGGCUGGAGUGCAGGAGGGGCAGGCGGAAUUCCUGGUGUAGCGGUGAAAUGCGUAGAUAUCAGGAAGAACACCGAUGGCGAAGGCAGCCUACUGGACUGCAACUGACGUUGAGGCCCGAAAGCGUGGGGAGCAAACAGGAUUAGAUACCCUAGUAGUC
rnacentral:rRNA from 1 species